UGCCUUUCUCGCCGACCUCCCUGCCUCCAGCCUCUCUCCGCUCUAGUUCGUAUUUCACUCCCUCGUCCGCGUCAUUUCUCUAAAAAAAAUUGUUCGGCACACGUCUCCCCGCUCAUCGAAAGAAGGGAAAACAAAUAGGGUGGGAAAUGAGAGCUUAGUCAGAGAAGGCUUCUUGGAGAAUUUAUGAUUUUCGUGGGGCUUUGAAGAUGGGGAGAGAAGAGGUCUGUCAGAAAUCAAGCGUGAGGGAGUCUCGGCUAGAGGGAGGAUGUGAGGAAGGAGUUAACGGUGAGACAGAGGAGAACCAGGUGCAGAGAGGAGAUUGGUAUUAGAGGAGCAGAGUGGGUGGGCCGGAUUGGAGUAGACGAGCCCGAUUAGGUAGCAGGAGAGGGAGAGGUGAUUGAGCGCCUUACAGCCAACGGAAAACGAUCCAGGCGGCAGAGUGAAGAAUGGAAGACGCUAGAGGCGGGGAGAUCAGAGAGGAAUCGGCGCCGAGCACUUGGGGGAAGAUGAGGUAACAGAGGCCCAGUGAAGUGGCUGGCCCAGAGCCAC